rnacentral:misc_RNA from 1 species
UUGGUUCGUGUGGGCAUGUCGGAUCCNUGCUUUGGCAGNGACGGCAUGCAGCACGUGCCUCCUCAGUCCGUGUUGGUUCAAGCGCGUAUUUGCCUUGGCCGCUGUCGGUUUUCUGUGUUGCAUACCUGUUGGAAGGUACCGGUUGGCCCAAACGUCCAUUUUCCGCCGUGCAUUGCGACCUUAACGGGUCGCGGUGUGGGGCGGACCACGAAGACUCGCCGAGUUCCGCGUACCGCGCGCCGAAACACGCGUGUGGUCGUUGGCCCGCGGCGACGUGCUUGAUCUCUUGGAUGCGGAAAAUCAUGCGGCAUGUGGUCAUCGGCCACUAUUUGCCCCAUAAUAAGCGUUUCACGCUUCGUGUGAACGACAGUCGGCCCGUCUCGAUCGGUCCCUUGCGGCUCCUGUCGUGCGGUAUCGGCGUCGGUGAAGAA